rnacentral:lncRNA from 1 species
GCAGCCGCUGCCGCCGCAGCGAAGAGGCCAUGUUGUGUGGUGUGUGGGGCGGGGGGAGGAGGAGGAGGGAGUAAAGCCUAGAGAGGAGACGGGAGAGAGACACCACACACACGGCACAAGAUGGCCGGAGAGGCAGCAGCACCCCGAGCUGUCAGGCGUUCCGCCGCGGCCGCGAGGCCCGCCGGCCGGCGGGGAGCUACGCCCGGACGGCCAGCAGGCCCGCGGGAGUGGGGCUGCCGCGGCUGAGGCGAGGCGGGCCGCGCGCGUCGGCGUCACAGCCCGCGGCAGAGGCGCCCAGGGCGGCCGGGCCCACGACGCCGAAAGCGCCGCUGCGGUUGCCGCCUCGGAGGCUCCCCCGGGCCCCGGCGGCUGGACCCGGCGCGGGCGGGAGGCUCGGGCGGGCGGUCCGGCCCGGGACUCGGGUUUGGGCGACCAGGAGGUGCCGGUGGCCGCGCUCGGACCCGGUUCUCCAACGGAGGAGCUUUUUAACCUCUUUCCGGUGAGGUGGGAACUCAUCUUCAUGAUCGAAUUUAAAAGAACAAUGGAACCCUGACUACGUUUCAACAAAAAUAAAACUUGUUUUUUUCCCUCCUAUUGGGUGUUGGCUUUUAACUCUUUCAAAGCCGAUUUUGAAACGGCUGCAGUGAUACAUGCGAAGGUGACUUAAGAGAUUAAAAUUAAUUUGGUUGCUGUUGGUUCUGAACAAAUAAUGAGUUCUUUUAUUUGAGGUAUGCCAUUUUGAAGACUGAGACGUUGGAGUUUUAUCCUAGAGGAUAAAGGAAAUCUUUGGGAAAGUCAGUAUUUUAUAUAGCAAAUUUGAUUGUGGAGCGGCAUAAGGGGGAGAAAGAUAAGUUGAGGACGUCUCUUUAUCUUUUGUUAAUCAGAGGUGGUGAUAGAGUGGAAAAUAUAACACGUUUCGGCAUUCAGGAGACCUACCUUCCAAUAAAUAUGAACCUCAAACUGAAUCCUCUAAAGGCCCCAUACAAUGAAGUAGACAUUGGUGGAAACAUUUACACCCAGUCAGCUUGAAGAGUUUCAAAUGGACCCUACCACUGAGAAAUCAAGAUGGCAGUCUACUAUGGGGAAUUGAGGAAAAAUGGAUUAAUACAAGAGUCCUGUGAUAAUAUACAACCAAGACAGGGUUCUUUUAACAUGGAUUCCAUGCAGUGAAUGAAGACAUAGGUUUCUUACCCAACACAAAUGGACAGUGGAUUUGACUUUCUAAAGACUUUUUUUGUGGACAUUUUGACAUUUGGAGAAGAAAGAUGGCACACUAACCCAGAUAAUAGUUUUUAUGCCUGGAAUUUUUUGCAGUUUGAUUUGUAUGCGUAUGACCUCUUGAAAUGUUAAUUUUUAAUAAAAUUUGUAACACUUAAAAAUUUCUCAGUUUGGGUUUUUUUUUUUAAGUGGAAGUUUAAUUAAAUGUUUAGUUUUAUUUUAGUAAUACUUUGGCCUUUGUAGUUGCCGAGUGGUAAAGUGUACUGAAUAUGAAUAAAGCUGGUAAAUUGGAAAUGGUGUAAUCGAAAACAUUUUACUUGGUUUAUGAAGAUUUACGUUUUUCACAAAGUUGUGCUCUUAGAUGGUCAUUUGGUUUAAAUACUGUUUUGUUUGUGCUUUCAUGAAACACCUUUCAAAACAACUCAAUGGGUAAUAAUAGAAUCUGAUUUUAAUCUGCCACAAGAUUUUAAUGAACUUGAAACAAACUGCUUGUUGCUCGAAAAUUCAGGAUGAGUGAUACACAUAUACUUCUGAAUUAUUUUGUGUUGAUUGAAAUGGUUUCUUAAGCUUUUUAAUACUAUAAAUACAUCUUGCUAUAGAAUAUUCAUCUGAAUAUUUAAAUUAAUGUCUCCUAUUGUCUUACUAUUAGAGGAAGAAGUGUUGGAUUUAUGGGUUAGGGUCCUUGGAGUAUUCACAAUUUUUUAAAUUUGAAAUUAUGUGUGUAAUCCAUUUUAUAUAACUUUGAAGUAGGAUUAAUAUCUUGUAUCGUCUUUAUUUUGUACAAUUGGGGAUUUAGAAUAAAUGAAUUGCACCCUGCCAUAGAUUACUUACGUUUGAUUUUUAAAUGCCAGGUUUUCAUUUAUUACUAAUCAACUGAUACCAGUUUUGGUAACUAUUACAAAGGUGGUAGGCAUUAUUUUGGUAGACAAAAUGAGUUCUUGAUUCUGUUUUCCCAUUUUACAUGAGAAGAAUAAAUAGUUCAGGUUAAAUUGUUUUGUGUUAAUCAUACUGUUUGUGAUUCAUGUCAAAUACUGCAGCAUACACAUCCAUGGUUAAUACACGAGCACCAUUUGUUAUUGACUGAUGUGAGGUGGUUGGUCUUUGUUAAAUUCAAAAAUGGAAUUUUGGAUAUUGUUCUUGCUACGAAAUUUAUCUUUGUGUGUAGAGUAUGGAAUUGAAACAGUUUGGAUUAUGGAUUUUACCUAGAUUGGACAUUGUUGAUUUUGUUUGGUGUAAAUCUAAAGUGGAUUUCUUCAGUGAGGGAGAGACAUGGUUCUGGCAGAUUAUGUUGAAUAAGGAAAGUUGAUUGGAUUUUUUUGGGUGUGUGAAUAUGCUUGUCUGAAUGGAGUGCUUGGUAGGAUAUUGUUUCUGGAAUUAGUAAUUUGUUUCUGUGGAUCUCAUGGUUUUGAUAUUUAGGAGAAUUUGCUUUGUGACAUUACUUUGAUAAUUUGCAAUCACGUAUGUCCUAUUGUUAAUAACAUUGUUGAAAUGGGUGUAUACUUACUUGAUUUGAAAUAUAAGGGAAGUGUUGGGAUAUGUGUUUUCUGUUGGAUUUGGACGUGGAGUUUCUUGGGUUACUGAUUUAAAGGUGAUCGUGUUUGGACCAUACUCUUGAAUUUUUGCCUGAAUCAGUAUGGGAAGUAAAUAUAUUGUGAUUAUGAGAAGUUUCUUUGGGGGGAGGAGUGUAAUAUUUUCAAGGUUAUAUAAUGGGUUAAAGAAUUUUGUGAAAGAACAAAGAAAAAUGGAUAUUCUUGAAUAAAAAUUGGUUGCAUUAACUUUUGCUCCAGUGCAACUUGAACACUAGGGAGGCGCUCUUGAGUUGUAAAAGUUACCCCUUUCUUCCAGUGGAGAUGGAAAAUUCCCCCUUAAAUUUUGUCUUUAGAUUAUUUUUAGGCAUCAUAAAGAAGGAAAAACUUGAAUUUAUAUUAUGAAAUUAAGGUUUUACUUUUAUUUAGCAAUCAUUUCACCCAUUGGGGGAUUAAUUUUUAAAAAGAUUAGUACUUAGCUGAGCUUUAGAUUCUCUAAGAAUUAUCCCUUUUUCAAAAUGGCUUGAUAAAACACCACUUCCUGUCCAGGGAGGAAGUUAUUUUAGCUCAAGGACUGAAAUAUUUAGCAGAUCUUUAGACAAAAGGAACAAAUUACAUUUCUCUCUGGCUUAAAAAGGGUGCUUGAGCCAGAGGGGGUUAAGAAGCCCUCCCCCCUCCCCCUGUUGGGGUGGUCUGGAGGGGCAGGGAGGUGUGGGGGUGGGGGUCCUUAGGCUCCCUGGGAUGGAGGAUCUGUCUCUCUCUCUCUCUCUCCUUUUUUUUUUUUUGGUGGAGAUGAAGGGGUGGGUCUAUGGUACAUCACCUGAGUUGUGGGGUAAAUGUAGAGAGUGUCAAUCAAAGGCAGAGCUCUCAGAGCUGGGAAGGAGGCUCUAGAUGGCGGCUGUGCCUUAGAGAGAGCGCGCUCUGCUCCCUGCCUUUGCCUCACUUUACGCAACUUUCCCUAACUUUCGGGCAGCCUCAGGGGGCCCCCGUAGCCCCCUGCCUUUCCUAGGGACUUACUGGGGUCGAUUCGAACCUUUUUUUGGGAGAAAAGCAGCUUUUAGGAGCUUUCUUUUCGUGCCUUGUUGGAAAGAAGCAGCCGUACUGAGAGCCCAGGUCGUUGUUUUUUCCAGCUUAGAAGCCAUGGCGCACCUCCAUUUUUGUGCGCUCUCCUAAUGAGGUUUUUUUUCUUUCGGACCUGUUUUAGUAUUAAUUAUUGCUUUAUUUUUUUGACCAGUUAACAUAUUUGAGGGUUAUUUUAUUUAUUUUUCGUUUUUUAACGGAGGAUUUUGCCUUUAUUUUUAAUUAUUUGGGAUCUGAUAUUUUUCUACUAGUAGAUAGGACUCUUGGUUUGGACAUACUACAUGGAUCAGUAAAUACCUGGGCACAGGACUUCAAAGCAAACACAGAUUCCCCCUCCCCCUUAAUAUUUAAGAAUUAAAAGAUGAUGAGAAAUAAGGACAAAAGCCAAGAGGAGGACAGUUCGCUACACAGCAAUGCAUCGAGGUAUGAGCUAUCAACUUUCUUCCUUUUUGUCUUUUUUUUUGGGGGAGAAACCUCAGCUUACAAUUGUUUACCUUGACAGACAUGGAUUGCUGUCUGUUUUAUUGUGUUUUUCUAAUUUGGAUUCGUUUUUUAAAGCAUGACCUUGAGAUUGCUAAUAUGCCACACCCUAAUUUUUUGGUAGCAAUUUAUGAAAGUUGAGUUGUGACUUAAGGCCUCUUACAGCAGUCAAAAGGUAAGGUACCUUUAUUCAAAGGGGCCUUUACUGUAAUGUACAGUUUUUCUGUCAGUAAAUUUCAGUUUUUAGGUUUUUGUACUGCAGAAAAAUGACCUUGUCGGUUUAGCCAUUGCUGCAUUGCACCAUUUUACAUACAAGGCAAAUUUUUUCUUUGAAGAAUCCAGGAUAUCUAAACUUGUAACUGAGGGCCAUAGAGAAGCCUUGUAGUAGUAAAUUAUAGUAAAUAGACAUAUCAGAAAGUUAUAUGAAUGAAAAAAUGUACAUUUAAAAACAAAAUCACUUAAAGGACCCUUUGACUGAUGCCUCUCAGUUUAUAUUUUUAUGUGACUUUAUAUUUCUUUUGAUACACUUGACAUUUUAGGAAAUUUUGAUGUGAUUUAUCAAAACCUUUACUUGAUGGUUAGAGUUCCUGCAUUUAUGAAAUCAAAUCUGUAAUAACAGAAAUCCUGGAAUACUCUUAAUAUAUACUUCUAUUUUGUGUUUGUUACUGUGAUUAAUAUUUGCAGUUGUAUAUUUUACAUUUAAAUUAUUUUAAGGUUUGCAUUUGUAUGCUUAAGACAUUGAUUUCCUGUUGGUAGAUGUAUUUUAUCCUCACAAUUUAGAUGUAGCUGCUUUAAAUUUAUUGAUGUAUUUCGACAGAGUCGUCUGGAAUGCUUUAUCUUCUGAAGCUUAAAAAUGUACUGUUUGUGCAAAUCAUGAUCUGUUUCACAUUCCUUGGAGUACCUUGUUAGUGAUGAAGUAAUAAAGCCUCUAAGAUGUUUUUGUUGUAUGACCUCUG